UACGUAGGUGGCGAGCGUUGUCCGGAUUUACUGGGCGUAAAGAGCGCGCAGGCGGUCGUACAAGUCGCGUGUGAAAGCCCCCGGCUCAACUGGGGAGGGUCACGCGAUACUGUUCGACUCGAGGGCAGGAGAGGGUAGUGGAAUUCCCGGUGUAGUGGUGAAAUGCGUAGAUAUCGGGAGGAACACCAGUGGCGAAGGCGACUACCUGGCCUGUUCUUGACGCUGAGGCGCGAAAGCUAGGGUAGCAAACGGG
rnacentral:rRNA from 1 species